rnacentral:rRNA from 1 species
UACGUAGGGUGCAAGCGUUAAUCGGAAUUACUGGGCGUAAAGCGUGCGCAGGCGGUUCGCUAAGACAGAUGUGAAAUCCCCGGGCUUAACCUGGGAACUGCAUUUGUGACUGGCGGGCUAGAGUAUGGCAGAGGGGGGUAGAAUUCCACGUGUAGCAGUGAAAUGCGUAGAGAUCUGGAGGAAUACCGGUGGCGAAGGCGGCCCCCUGGACAAAGACUGACGCUCAGGUGCGAAAGCGUGGGGAGCAAACAGG